UACGUAGGGUGCAAGCGUUGUCCGGAAUUAUUGGGCGUAAAGCGUGCGUAGACGGUUAUUUAAGUCGGGUGUGAAAGCCCCGGGCUCAACCUGGGAAUUGCAUUCGAGACUGAAUAGCUAGGGUACGGUAGAGGGAAGUGGAAUUUCCGGUGUAGCGGCGAAAUGCGUAGAUAUGCGGAGGAACACCGAUGGCGAAGGCAAUCCCCUGGGCCUGCACUGACGCUCAUGCACGAAAGCGUGGGGAGCAAACAGG
rnacentral:rRNA from 1 species